rnacentral:rRNA from 1 species
UGAGGAAUAUUGGUCAAUGGGCGGGAGCCUGAACCAGCCAAGUCGCGUGAGGGAAGACGGUACUAUGGAUUGUAAACCUCUUUAGGCGGGGAGCAAUGCCGGGCACGCGUGUCCGGAGGGAGAGUACCCGCAGAAUAAGCAUCGGCUAACUCCGUGCC